rnacentral:rRNA from 1 species
GACGAACGCUGGCGGCGUGGAUUAGGCAUGCAAGUCGAACGGUAGGAUACCUUCGGGUAUCUGAGAGUGGCGAACGGGUGAGUAACACGUAGGUGAUCUACCCUCAAGAUUGGGACAACCCAGGGAAACUUGGGCUAAUACCGGAUGAAAGCAGCAGUGAUGUUGUUUGAAGGGUGGCGUAAGCUGCCGUUUGGGGAUGAGCCUGCGCUCUAUUAGUUAGUUGGCGGGGUAAAGGCCCACCAAGGCGAUGAUAGAUAGGCGGCCUUAACGGGUGGUCGCCCACACUGGGAUUGAGAUACGGCCCAGACUCCUACGGGAGGCAGCAGUCGAGAAUAGUCUACAAUGGCCGAAAGGCUGAUAGUGCGACGCCGCGUGAACGAAGAAGCCCUUCGGGGUGUAAAGUUCUUUUAUAUGUGAGCAGUGCUUUCUAUGUGAACAGCAUGGGGAGAGAGAUAUUAGCAUAUGAAUAAGCAACGGCUAACUCCGUG